rnacentral:lncRNA from 1 species
AUCGGCCCUCUGGAUGCCAAAGGUCUGCUGUUCUCCGCCUCCAAGCAGGACCUGCUCAGGACCAAGAUGAGAGACUGUGAGCUGCUUCUGCAGGAGUGUAUCCAGCAGACCACAAAGGUGGGUAGGUGGCCUACCUGCCACCGAAAGUGACUGGAUCACGGUGGAGGCAUUCCUGGAGAGGCAGGAUGUCACAUAUGGGUGGAGGCACAGCCUCAGGGUUUGUUUUUCAUAGACCUGACAUCUCAAGGUUUUAGAUGAACAUAAUGUCACCAAUCCAUCUUUCUUCUCCUCUCUCUCUCUCUCUCGUUUCCUCUCUCCCUCCAUUCCUUUGCCUGGAGACUGAACCCAGGGAGGGCCUUGUGUGUGUGUUAGGCAAGUGUUCUACUCCACCACUGAACUGCACCUCCAUAUUGUCAUGCUUUUGCUAAGUAAAACUUAAAAUUCCCAUCUGUUAUUGCCACAAUGAAUUCCCACAAAGUAUAGGAACGGUGUACAGGGAAGAUCUGGGAAUGAAAGGCAGUCCUUUACCCGAAGACGCUUGGCUUAAGAAGACCUCACUAGGGCGAGGAAUGGAUCUCAGUUGGUACAGCGCUCACAGCACACUCAGGGCUUCCCCACCCACUACAGCAAAAACCACCUUGCAUUGCAGCAAGCUGAGUGGAACACGCCUGCAAUCCCACGAUCUACAGGUCCGAGGCAAGAGGGUCUUGAUUUUGAAGCUAGCCUGGACUAUAUAGUGAGACCCUAGACACAAGC